CCCAAAUCACUCUUAUUAUUUGCAUUCCGGGUUACAUGGCAAAUAAAUCACUUAGCUCCGUAACGAUGAUCUUCAUCUUCAUCAUCGUUUUAUCCCAUCCCAUGCACCCACAAUCCGAUGCAGUUGGCUUAACUUCUCGUCAAUUAUUUCAAAACCACCGUUAUCCACCGUGCUUGUGUUGUCAAACGGAUGCACCACCACCGCCGCAUUGCUACUGUGCAUGCUUUGUGACCGAUUCAAGAAACAAGUCUCCGUGAUAUUGAAUAAAACAUUAGAAAGAUGUUCAAAUGACCGAUCAAGCAUUAAUAUACGUGAGAAAUAUUAUACUGUAUAAGAAAUUAAUACUUCAUUUUAAAGUGAAUGUUGUCUUUUGUUUCGUGGUAUAUUAUUGUCUAAUUCUAUGUUUCUAUUAAAAAUAAAUAAAAUCUUGUUAUUGUAAAAUAAA